GGACAUACCUGAUAUAUAGAGAUCCUGGAAUGGUUCUCCAUUUAAGGCUCCGGCACCUAAGGAUGGAUCUGCGGCCUAUUAGGUCGUUGGUGGGGUAAAGUCCCAACAAGCCUGUAAUCUGUACGGGUUGUGAGAGCAAGAGCCCGGGGAUGGAACCUGAGACAAGGUUCCAGGCCCUACGGGGCGCAACAAGCCCGAAACCUCCGCAAUGCGAGCAAUCGCGACGGGGGGACCCCAAGUGCCACUCUUAACGGGGUGGCUUUUCUUAAGUGUAAAAAGCUUUUGGAAUAAGGGCUGGGCAAGACCGGUG
rnacentral:rRNA from 1 species